CCUACGGGUGGCUGCAGUCGAGAAUCAUUCACAAUGGGGGAAACCCUGAUGGUGCGACGCCGCGUGGGGGAAUGAAGGUCUUCGGAUUGUAAACCCCUGUCAUGUGGGAACAAAUGAAAAAGAUAGUACCACAAGAGGAAGAGACGGCCAACUCUGUGCCAGCAGCCGCGGUAAGACGGAGGUCUCGAGCGUUGUUCGGACUCACUGGGCGUAAAGCGUGCGUAGGCUGUUUCUUAAGUCGUGUGUGAAAGGCGCGGGCUUAACCCGCGGACUGCACAUGAUACUGCGAGACUAGAGUAAUGUAGGGGGAGCCGGAAUUCUCGGUGUAGCAGUGAAAUGCGUAGAUAUCGAGAGGAACACUGGUGGCGAAGGCGGGUGCCUGGACAUUAACUGACGCUGAGGCACGAAGGCCAGGGGAGCGAACGGGAUUAGAUACCCUUGUAGUC
rnacentral:rRNA from 1 species